rnacentral:rRNA from 1 species
GAUGAACGCUAGCGGCAGGCUUAAUACAUGCAAGUCGUGGGGCAGCAUGAGUAGCAAUACUUGAUGGCGACCGGCAAACGGGUGAGGAACACGUACACAACCUUCCUUCAAGCGGGGAAUAGCCCAGAGAAAUUUGGAUUAAUACCCCAUAAUAUAUUUGAUAAGGCAUCUUAUUAAUAUUAAAGCUUCGGCACUUGAUGAUGGGUGUGCGGCUGAUUAGAUAGUUGGCGGGUAACGGCCCACCAAGUCUACGAUCAGUAGCUGAUGUGAGAGCAUGAUCAGCCACACGGGCACUGAGACACGGGCCCGACUCCUACGGGAGGCAGCAGUAAGGAAUAUUGGACAAUGGACGAAAGUCUGAUCCAGCCAUGCCGCGUGAAGGAUUAAGGUCCUCUGGAUUGUAAACUUCUUUUAUAUGGGACGAAAAAGGGCAUUCUUGUUCACUUGACGGUACCAUAUGAAUAAGCACCGGCUAACUCCGUGCCAG